CCGCCACUGUGCACAAUAGGGGUCGCUGUGUACGAAGAGGGCGAUAUCUGGGUGGAUGAGGCGGAUGCGUGUAAGACAUGUGUGUGCAAGGCGUCGCAGGCUGUAUGCACGGAGGAUCUCUGCGUGCCCGUGUCCUGUUCGCACCCGUCUAAGCCCGCGGACAGCUGCUGCCCCGUCUGUGAGCGCUGCCAGGUCUCCGAGCUGACAUACGACAACGGACAGCAGUUCACGCAUGCCGACGAUCCCUGCCAGACGUGCAGCUGUGCGCACGGAAACAUCACGUGCGAGCCAGUCGGCUGCCCAACACUGCAGUGUGACACGCCCUGUCCGCCCGACAACCCCAACUGUAGAAAAGCACA